UGUCGAGCUACCUCCAAACCCCUGUGACAUACCACUUGUUGCCUCGGCGGAUCAGCCCGCUCCCGGUAAAACGGGACGGCCCGCCAGAGGACCCCUAAACUCUGUUUCUAUAUGUAACUUCUGAGUAAAACCAUAAAUAAAUCAAAACUUUCAACAACGGAUCUCUUGGUUCUGGCAUCGAUGAAGAACGCAGCAAAAUGCGAUAAGUAAUGUGAAUUGCAGAAUUCAGUGAAUCAUCGAAUCUUUGAACGCACAUUGCGCCCGCCAGUAUUCUGGCGGGCAUGCCUGUUCGAGCGUCAUUUCAACCCUCAAGCACAGCUUGGUGUUGGGACUCGCGUUAAUUCGCGUUCCCCAAAUUGAUUGGCGGUCACGUCGAGCUUCCAUAGCGUAGUAGUAAAACCCUCGUUACUGGUAAUCGUCGCGGCCACGCCGUUAAACCCCAACUUCUGAAUGUUGACCUCGGAUCAGGUAGGAAUACCCGCUGAACUUAAGCAUAUCAAAAGCCGGAGGAAAAAAAAAAACACAC
rnacentral:rRNA from 1 species